GUCAUUAUGGAGUCUUAUUGCCUGGAGCUGGUAAAUCUGUUGAAGAUGCGGACCGCGAACAGGGCUGCAAUUCUUCAUGUUCUUAUGCAAAUCAGAAGCUGCUUUUGACAUUGACAAGGCAGCUGCAGUGAAGAAUGACAUAUCAAGAUUACUUACAUACAUAUUGUCAGGCCACAUAAGCCUCUUCCGCGACCACUCAUUGGCAGAUUCAGGACCAUCUUUCAUGCUCCAACAAUAUUUUGCCUUUGAUCUUCAAAUCGAUUAGUUGAAGGCAUGACCGGAUAAUCUUCAGAGUAGGAGUCAUCUUCAUAUGUCUCCUAGUUGGCAGCUCAUGAAACUGAUAAUGUCACCUCCCAUACUAGUACAGAUCAUGUCUGGUUGUCUCAGACUCCGAUUUUUCUGGAACCAUGUAAUCAGCAAGAAAGUACACUUGGUAACAAAAUUUAGUAUGCGGCUUGUUUGUAGUUUAGAAGGGCGGUUGCUGUACAAUUGAUGUGUAUGCUUGUGAUGUCUCAAUGUAAAAGACGUGAUGUUCUUCCA